AUAUUUAAGUAUAAAAUAUCUUUCAUAAUUAAACUGCCUAGUUGCACUGUGUUUUAGCCUGUUGUUUUGGCAUUGUUUUGCAAUGAUGAAUGAGGCGUUUGGCCUAAUCUGCAGGCCUACUCCACAUACAGUCCAUUGUUAUCAUGUGUUAGUUUCUGUCAUGUUCUGCAUGGCCAAUAUGAAGUGAUUUUAUGGAUUUGGUUAGGCUCAUUGUAGGACAGAUGAUUAAAAAAGGCACUAGGGAUAUUUUCAUGAUCUUAAAAUAUUCUAACAAGUAGGCUCUCUCUUUUUCAAGAUGCAUAUAACAAUCCAAAAAGGGAGAUCCCUGUCCCAUAUUUAUAUUAAUGUUUUUCAUAGGCCAUCAUAUAUGCCCUGGGCUGCCCUCCGGAAUUUGUCCUUGCAGGAGGCUGAGGAGGUCUUCCUUUCUGGUCCAGAUUAUCAUUUCAGUGAAGUGGAAGAAUUUAAUAGAAAGAUUGACAAACAAUUGAGGAAAGAAGGGAGACCAUUCAAUUGAGUUGAAGCCUACAGCCAUUCUAUCCAUGCAGCAACUGAUGGAAAAAGGGUUCGCUUUGGUGCUGUUGUCGCAAAAAUGACAUUUUAUAUAUAUAUAUAUAUAUAUAUAUAUAUAUAUAUAUAUAUAUAUAUAUAAAU